AACAGGAUUAGAUACCCUGGUAGUCCACGCUGUAAACGAUGUCGACUUGGAGGUUGUGCCCUUGAGGCGUGGCUUCCGGAGCUAACGCGUUAAGUCGACCGCCUGGGGAGUACGGCCGCAAGGUUAAAACUCAAAUGAAUUGACGGGGGCCCGCACAAGCGGUGGAGCAUGUGGUUUAAUUCGAUGCAACGCGAAGAACCUUACCUACUCUUGACAUCCAGAGAAUUUGCUAGAGAUAGCUUAGUGCCUUCGGGAACUCUGAGACAGGUGCUGCAUGGCUGUCGUCAGCUCGUGUUGUGAAAUGUUGGGUUAAGUCCCGCAACGAGCGCAACCCUUAUCCUUUGUUGCCAGCACGUAAUGGUGGGAACUCAAAGGAGACUGCCGGUGAUAAACCGGAGGAAGGUGGGGAUGACGUCAAGUCAUCAUGGCCCUUACGAGUAGGGCUACACACGUGCUACAAUGGCAUAUACAAAGAGAAGCGAACUCGCGAGAGCAAGCGGACCUCAUAAAGUAUGUCGUAGUCCGGAUUGGAGUCUGCAACUCGACUCCAUGAAGUCGGAAUCGCUAGUAAUCGUAGAUCAGAAUGCUACGGUGAAUACGUUCCCGGGCCUUGUACACACCGCCCGUCGCACCAUGGGAGUGGGUUGCAAAAGAAGUAGGUAGCUUAACCUUCGGGAGGGCGCUUACCACUUUGUGAUUCAUGACUGGGGUGAAGUCGUAACAAGGUAACC
rnacentral:rRNA from 1 species